rnacentral:rRNA from 1 species
UACGUAGGUGGCAAGCGUUGUCCGGAAUUAUUGGGCGUAAAGCGCGCGCAGGCGGUCUUUUAAGUCUGAUGUGAAAUCUCGGGGCUCAACCCCGAGCGGCCAUUGGAAACUGGGAGACUUGAGUACAGAAGAGGAGAGCGGAAUUCCACGUGUAGCGGUGAAAUGCGUAGAGAUGUGGAGGAACACCAGUGGCGAAGGCGGCUCUCUGGUCUGUAACUGACGCUGAGGCGCGAAAGCGUGGGGAGCGAACAGG